rnacentral:rRNA from 1 species
UACGUAGGGUGCGAGCGUUAAUCGGAAUUACUGGGCGUAAAGCGUGCGCAGGCGGUUUUGUAAGUCUGUCGUGAAAUCCCCGGGCUCAACCUGGGAACUGCAUCUGUGACUGCAUCGCUGGAGUGCGGCAGAGGGGGAUGGAAUUCCGGCGUGGUAGCAGUGAAAUGCGUAGAUAUGCGGAGGAACACCGAUGGCGAAGGCAAUCCCCUGGGCCUGCACUGACGCUCAGUGCACGAAAGCGUGGGGAGCAAACAGGA